GAUGUCAAGACGGCCGUUGCACACACGCCCAAAGACA
rnacentral:tRNA from 3 species